GACAGGCCGGGCAGUGUAACCCAGGAACCUGCGACCUUGUGCUUGUGAGGCAGGCGGCGGAACCACUGGGCUGAGUCCCUGGCCCUGCCCCUGAGCUCUUGAUCCUCCUGCCUCAGCCUGCAAGUGCUGGGAUGACAGAUGUGUCUGUGUAGAGGUGCAGGUGCUCCUCUGCUCUGGGGGAGGGUGGCCGAUGCAGACUCUGCAGGGCGAGGGGACCCCCGCACCUCCCCAGGAGCCUCCCAGCCUGCACAGCAUCCUGAGCCCAGCACUGUGUACAUCAGGGAAACUGAGGCCAGGGGGUCAUGCAGCAGGUGUGCUUCAGCCUGGCUGGCUUUCCCAGGGGGCGUCUGGGACCAGGCUGUCCCUGGGGCUUGCGUGGGGCUGGAGGCUGCCACGUGGAGGUGGCCGGACCCUUCCCUGUUCCUCUUCGGGGGAGGACACAGGCCCUGGGCCCCGCCCAGCCUGCAGCGCUCAGGGUUGUGCCCGGGUGGGCUCCCGCCUGGUCUCCUCCCGCCUCAGCACUCGCUCUGGAGUGGCCUGGGUGGGGGACGCCACCCUGGCCAGAGUCCAAAGGCGCAGCAGGAGCCCGGGCCCCACAUGCUGGAAACAGGAUGUGGGGGGGCUCCGCGGGUCUCCCCUCUCCCGCUGAGGCAGAGCUGUCACCCGCGCCCCUCCUGCUGUCCCGGGCCUAUCCCUGCCUGGCCCAAGGCCCAGCCUGGAAAAACCCAUCAGACCCCGCCUGAGUGGGGCGCAGAGGGGUCCAGGCGGGCGGGUGGGGAGCCUGGGCCACCCGCACUGUCCCCCAGCGCGAGGCCACAGCGCGGGCACGGGCACCUGCCCGAUAGCGGAGGUGUCGCUGAUGCUGCGCAGAGCUGACCACAGCGGCCUCCCGCGCGCGCCCCCCGGCGGUUAAGUGUAUGUCUCAUCCGGCCUGGGACAACCCACGGCCUUGGGCGAGCAGGGCCGAGCCACCCAGCUGAUCCCCGGCCCUUACUUCUCCUUUUCAGUGGGUUUCUUGCGUAAAAACUCCCAAGGACCUGCGGUCAUGCCAGGUGUAACCGGGUCAGGGUCCGGCUGAGUGGGACAAGGCCUCCCGGCCCACCCGCUGGCUGCCACCCAGUGACUCGCGGGGCGUGGUGGGUGUCCUCAGCGGGCAGGUCGGGCACCACGCUGUGCAGGGCGACAGACCGGGUGGGCGGGUGUGUGGGAAGCCUGUGAACGCGGUUCCUCCGGUGCUGUCCAAAGAGGGACCGCAAGCCAGCCUCGCCUGUCAGCCCAGAGCUUGGGAGGCUGAGGCCGGAGCAUCAGACCGAGUUCAAGGCCAGCCUGGACUAGACUCUGUCUCAAAAGAAGAGGAGCUCCCUGUGACCUGGCCCGAGCACCGGGUCGGAGGACGCUGCCCCCUCGCCCGCACCCUGGGUGCCUGGCGCCCCGGCAGCCUGCUGGGGUCUGGAGAGGCUCCGGGCUGUGGAAAUCGAGGAACAUCUGUGAUCAGUUCCCGAAAAUAUUUGCUGGUUUGAAAACUACAGAAGAGUCCAGAAAAGAAGAUAGAAACCACCCAAAUUGCAUCCAGAGAAGCAGCUGAAGUUCGGCUGUGACCGCUGUGUGCCCAUUGGUGCCCAGGGCAGCGGUUCCCAACAUCAUGGCACUGAGAAUCAGCAGGACGGCUCGCUGAACAAAGGCUCCCAUCCUAGCCCUCGGAGGCUGCGGCAGGAGGAUCGCAAGGCCAAGUCCAGCUUGGGCAACUUUGUGACACGCUGUCUCAAGAUACAGAGGAGAGCCUGGGUUCAGUGACCAGCAGCGCAAACCCAAGACAAGUGCUUCUCAGCCGGCGGGCCUGGGUGGGACGGCGCCUGGCGUCUCUCACUCCCGGGCCCAGGGAACACACGGCAGAGUGACUGGCCUUCGGGUUAUGCCUUCGUUAUUUCAAGAAGGGGCCACAACCUGUGGUGCUGGCAUCACUCGGGAACUUGUGAGAAAUGCAGAAUCUGAGGCCCCAGCCCAGCCCCAUUGAAUCGGAAGCUGUACUUUCUCAGCAGGACCCCUGAACACUCUGUAGCUGGCGUGGUGCUGCACGCCUGUCAUCCCAGCGCUCAGGAGGCUGAGGGAGGAGAGUUGCGUUUUCAAGGUCAGCCUGGGGUACAUAGUGAGACCUUGCCUCAAAAAGAAAGCACCGAUGUGCGCAGGACUGGCUUAUAUUUUGAGCAUUAUACUGUGUUACAGAGCUUCGCCCUAGAUCACUGAUACAAUUUACACACAAUAAAUGUGCCAUUGUGGAGCUCUGAUAAAAUUACACAGGACCGUCUCCCAUCUUUUCUGUCUGCUCACCAGGACUUUCCUGUACAGUUAAAUGUUUUGGGAAAACAGGAUCUUUCUUUGCAGUGCAGGUUGUCCCUGAACUCACUGUGUAGCCCAGGGUGGUCCAACUCAGUGAUCCUCCUGUCCCAGC
rnacentral:lncRNA from 1 species